AUGGCGCUCAACUACAUGGGCGCCGCGGCCAUCAACGCGGUGGCGGCCCUGCUGUCCAUCCCGGUGAUCGCGGCCGGCAUCUGGCUCUCCACGCAGGCCGACAACGCCUGCGUCCAGAUCCUCCAGUGGCCACUCGUCGGCCUCGGCGUCGCCGUCCUCGCCGUCGGCCUCGCGGGCUUCAUCGGCGCCUUCUGGCGCCUGCCCUGGCUCCUCCUCGCCUACAUGGUCCUCAUGCUCCUCCUCGUCGCCGCGCUCGCCUGCCUCGCCGUCUUCGUCUUCGUCGCCACCACCGGCACCUCCGGCCGCCCCGUGCCCAGCCGCGCCUUUCUAGAGUACGACCUGGCCGACUACUCCGGCUGGCUGCGCCGCCGCGUCGCCGACGAGCCGGGGAGGUGGGACGAGAUCAAGACGUGCCUGGCCGCCACCGCGCCCGUCUGCUCCGAGCUCAACCAGACGUACGCCGCGCCGCAGGACUUCUUCGCCGCCUGGCUCUCCCCGAUGCAGUCCGGCUGCUGCAAGCCGCCGACGAGGUGCGGCUACACCUUCGUCAGCGCGACCAACUGGAUCAGCCCGAUCGACGGCGCCGCCGACCCCGACUGCGCUGCCUGGAGCAACGACCAGGACCGGCUCUGCUACUCCUGCGACUCCUGCAAGGCCGGCCUACUGCAGAAUCUCCGCCGGGAGUGGCGCCGCGCGGACGUCGUCCUCGCCGUCACCGUCGUUGCCCUCCUUGCAGUCUACGCCAUGGGCUGCUACGCGUUCCGCACCGCCAGGACGGACGAGCUCUUCCGCCGCUACCGGCAGGGCUACACGUGA
rnacentral:rRNA from 1 species